rnacentral:rRNA from 1 species
UACGUAGGGUGCGAGCGUUAAUCGGAAUUACUGGGCGUAAAGCGUGCGCAGGCGGUUAUAUAAGACAGUUGGGAAAUCCCCGGGCUCAACCUGGGAAUUGCAUCUGUGACUGUAUAGCUAGAGUACGGUAGAGGGGGAUGGAAUUCCGCGUGUAGCAGUGAAAUGCGUAGAUAUGCGGAGGAACACCGAUGGCGAAGGCAAUCCCCUGGACCUGUACUGACGCUCAUGCACGAAAGCGUGGGGAGCAAACAGC